GGGGAUGUAGCUCAAUGGCACAGUAUUUGCCUGGCAUGUAAAACGCCUUGGGUUUGACCCCAGCAAUGCUA
rnacentral:tRNA from 1 species